rnacentral:rRNA from 1 species
CGAAAGCCUGACGGAGCAAUACCGCGUGAGGGAGGAAGGCUCUUGGGUUGUAAACCUCUUUUCUCAGGGAAGAAUGACGGUACCUGAGGAAUCAGCAUCGGCCAACUCCGUGCCAGCAGCCGCGGUAAUACGGAGGAUGCAAGCGUUAUCCGGAAUUAUUGGGCGUAAAGCGUCCGUAGGUGGACAUUCAAGUCUGCUGUCAAAGACCGGGGCUUAACCCUGGAAAGGCGGUGGAAACUGAAAGUCUAGAGUGCGGUAGGGGCAGAGGGAAUUCCCAGUGUAGCGGUGAAAUGCGUAGAGAUUGGGAAGAACACCGGUGGCGAAAGCGCUCUGCUGGGCCUGCACUGACACUAAGGGACGAAAGCUAGGGGAGCGAAUGGGAUU